UAAGGAAUAUUGGUCAAUGGACGCAAGUCUGAACCAGCCAUGCCGCGUGAAGGAUGAAGGUCCUCUGGAUUGUAAACUUCUUUUAUCUGGGACGAAAACGGGAUUUUUAUCUCAAUUGACGGUACCAGAGGAAUAAGCACCGGCUAACUCCGUGCCAGCAGCCGCGGUAAUACGUAGGGAGCAAGCGUUGUUCGGAUUUACUGGGCGUAAAGGGCGCGUAGGCGGCGCGGUAAGUCACUUGUGAAAUCUCUGAGCUUAACUCAGAACGGCCAAGUGAUACUGCUGUGCUAGAGUGCGGAAGAGGCAACCGGAAUUCUUGGUGUAGCGGUGAAAUGCGUAGAUAUCAAGAGGAACACCUGAGGCGAAGGCGGGUUGCUGGGCCGACACUGACGCUGAUGCGCGAAAGCCAGGGGAGCAAACG
rnacentral:rRNA from 1 species